AUACGAGGGGGCUAGCGUUGUUCGGAAUUACUGGGCGUAAAGCGCACGUAGGCGGCUUUGUAAGUCAGAGGUGAAAGCCUGGAGCUCAACUCCAGAACUGCCUUUGAGACUGCAUCGCUUGAAUCCAGGAGAGGUCAGUGGAAUUCCGAGUGUAGAGGUGAAAUUCGUAGAUGUUCGGAAGAACACCAGUGGCGAAGGCGGCUGACUGGACUGGUAUUGACGCUGAGGUGCGAAAGCGUGGGGAGC
rnacentral:rRNA from 1 species